AGGCAGUUCUUGACACACUUAAAACAUGAAUCAAUUGAACAUCUUCGGGGUUGAUGUAGGGCAGGGGCAGGGCUUUACGUUGGGUUAGUUAGGAGUGUGUGAGGGGGGAAAUCUGAUAAGAGGUUUUAUACCGAUAUGUCCCUGAUGGAGAUUCAGCGAAAAAACACCUGGUGAUAUAAUCAUUUAAAUGUGGCAUGAGUUGGAGAAUAAAGGGCUGAUGGAGCUCAAAGAAUAAAGGGCUGAUGGAGCUCAAGGAAUAAAGGACUGAUGGAGCUCAAGGGAUGAAGGGCUAAUGGAGCUCAAGAAAUAAAGGGCUGAUGGAGCUCAAGGAAUAAAGGGCUGAUGGAGCUCAAGGGAUCAAAAUGAAUCUUCUAUUAAUACAAGUCCUCUGAGUCAUUCAAAGAAUUCCAUGUCUGGUUUAAGAUGUGCUGAUGUCAGCAAAUACAGUUAUGUUCAUUGAUGGUUAGAUAACUAUUUAAUAUACUGUGUGUGUGUGUGUGUGAAUGUGUGUGUGUACGUGUACCAGAACGGAGUAUUUAUCUCCCAUUGUGUAUUCCGAUAGUUCCUCCAUAACCCAUGUAACGUGUAAUGUGCUGAGGGAUCAGAUCUCACUUGUUUGGUAUUUCAAAGGUGCAAAAAUCUACUACAGAACAAAUGUCACAAAUAUAAACAGUUCAUGGCUAUAGUACUUAGUGUCCUAUACUACAAAUGUUUCUACAUUCCAAGUGCAGUGUCUGGGCUGCUUAAUCAACUUUAUUAACCAAAUGAUGUGUGUGUUGUGUUACAAACUCCUUACAGGAAUGUGGUAUGUGAUACAUAUAAAAGUCAUAUAUAUAUAUACACAUUUGUAGCCAUUACACCUAAAAUAGAUAUUGCUUGAAAGAUAUCAUUCUGGCCUUGUACUGAAUUUUCAUAAUUGAUUAUUUUUAAGUCUUUUGACAAUUUUUUUUUUUGAUGUUCUUGUCUUUAGGUCCUUUGAAAUGUUGACACAUGCAAUUUCUGCUAUACACUUCAAUAGUAAUGAAGAUAUUUUCAUUUUUUUUGCUAAGCUUUGAGACAAAAAAAAUAAAGAUAUUUAAAGACAGAAAAUCAAAGUUGAUUUCCUAUUCAUUAUGCUAAAGGUUCUUUUAAAAUCCUGAAAUUUUCUCCAAAUAUGAAGAUAUGACAGGACUUGGAAGGAUUUUCCAUCAUGACACCGAUAAUCAUAUACAUGUAUACAUAAUGAACAAUACAAUAUGAUUGCAUAUUUAUAUUAAACAAUACAAAUCUAUUAUCAGAAAAUUAAAUGUGCCAUUAAAUCUCAUUUAUAUUAUGCUGUUCCUCUGCUCAAGCAGACACAUAUAAUAUACGUCAGGACUAUUAUUACUUCACCUCUUUUGAGCUUAUAUUGUGAAUGUGGUGGUCAGGGGACUUAACUCUUGGUAGUUAAAUCUAUGAUGGUCAGGGGACUUAACUCUUGGUAGUUAAAUCUAUGAAAGGAUUACUGUUCUUUAGGUAUUUUUCCUGAUUUUUUUUGAUUUUAUCAUUACUAUUUUUUGUUUGCUUUAUUCAAAUUUUGAUAAAACCUUCAAAGAUUUUGAUCAUAUGUCAUAGAAAAAAUACCACAUACAUCAAUGAUAGCCUAAGCUUUGAGACACAAACAUGUAAAUAACCCAAUAUACAGAGCAUAGUAUUAAUUGUCUAAAUCUGUCAUCAUAUGAAAAUGUCAUCUUUGAAGUACAUUCAAAAAUCACCUUCCAACUGCCUGAUUACAUGUGAAAUCAAAUAAACCAAUUGUUUCAAGCAUGAAAACAAUCACACAGUUGUGAUCGACGAUUGUUUGACAAAAAUACUUCCUAGUGUUUUUUAUUUCCAAAAACUAUUUGUAUAGGCUUGCAUAUCUAUCACAGCUAGUGAUCACCUCUGUAGAGGUCAAAAGCCCAUAAUAAACUGCAAUCACAAAAGAAAAAAAUUCAUGUUUAAAAAGAAAGUAUUCAUUUUAACAUGUUGAAUGUAAGAAAGGUACACAUAUAUAGUAUAAUGGUAUUGGGAUCACUACAGGUGUUCAGGUGUGAAAGUUGCUUGAGUUUUCUCUGAUUGUUUUAGAGUUGGAGGUGGGUGAACAGUAGUAUAUUUGAUUCCUCUCCAAGUGUUUGGAGUUGGAGUCAAUAGCCUCCUUGGAAUUCCAGGGGUUACAAUCACCUACAUUCUCUGCACCCCUGGAAUAUGGCGGGACGAAAUUGAAGGCUCAGUAUGUGCCACCUUGUGGAUGAUACAAGUAACCUACCCUGGUCGUUAGAUCCUUUGAUAUACAUCAAAAGAAUCGCACAGCUGCAUAUCUGUAAAAUUUUGACCGGGUGUCGCUCCUCUGUAACCUUCGAAGUACAAGUACCAAGCUAGCAAUUGGUCAGGUUAUUUCAGCUGAAACCAAUCAAAUAGCUAACUGUGUGUCUUUGGUUUUGUCACGACAUAUUCCACGGGCGCAGAGAACGUAUCUGAUUUUUAACCACUGCAAUUUCGAGCAUAUGGAGGCAUGGGUGAAAACGUAAAGUUGAUAUAUGUUUGGAUCACACAAGAAUUGAGAGGACGAUAACUAUUAACUGGAUGAUAUAUUUUGUGAGGAUCUAUAGGGAAUACUUUGUGUUCUAUCCAAUACCUGUUGAGAGGGUGUCGGUUUAUAUAGGAAAACAAUCUCAGCUACUUUACUUUGUCAAAUAUUCAAUGUCAGUACGAUGAUACUCGAUAACGAUUAUAUGUCUGUGAUAGCAGUGCAGAUACAUGUUUACCCAUGUUCAUUGUAUUUGUGAUAAGAAUUCCAUUCUACUAUUACCUGUCUCUAUCUCUGUUCAGUUUUGUUUUGUCAAACCAACAUUGCAAGCCUUCAAGUGAUCAACAUCUUGAUCACCAAGGCCCUUAACUUAAAUGUAAACUUAUGAUUGUUUGUUAUAGCUCUAAUCUUAAAAUCAUCGAGUUCUACACAAAAAAUGUAAUGCUUUUAAUGCUGGAGGUCAGAGGUCACAGUCUGCUUGAAGUGCUGUAGAUAUAUGUUUGACUGGAAUAUGGUCUCAGUGCUAGAAAUGCAAGCUUCUGUGUGAUAGAGAUUUACCUGGAGAAGGCCUACUAGGGUUUCCACUUGCAAUUGCCAGGUAGAAAGCGUGUGCGAGUGAUUAGCCAAGCUAUGUUACAGUAUGGUAGUGUAUGGGGUGUAGUGCUGUAAACAGCGCUCUGGUUAUAUUUAAAUAACUUUCAUAUAAAUGACCUUUGUAUAUAUUGAACUCAGUACUUAAAUAUUCCAUUACUAUUGUACAUAUCAGCUGAAUGUAAUUUCUAUGUUAAAUGUUCCAUUGCUAGCUAGCUGUUGGUCAGUUCACAUAAAAGUUAUUUUUUCUACCUUAAUUUUAAAACAGCCUGUUUCUACAUGAACUGAGAAUAGUUAAGCAUCCGUUAUUUUGAUCGAAAUCAAGAAGAAAAUCUUUGAUUUCAUCGUCAUAUCGGGUAAAAAAAAAAAAGCCCUUUUUAUUAUCCAGGGGGAAGCAGCCUAUAUUCAGCUAUAAAACUAGGCUAAAAUCACUGGUUUAUAAACAUUGUUUUAAAGGUCAAGGUUUGUAAAAAAUACCAUUGGUAAGGAGUCGUUGUAGGAGAGAAUUAAUUGAUGAUAUACUACAGCAGCUACCAGUUUGUAUAAUGGUAGUCUGAAUUGACAGUGAACAAGGUCAAAGGUAGACAACUUCCGGAGAUCGUUAUGAUAUUGGGAAGUGUAUGAUCAAAGUGUACUGGAUAUGAAAAAGGUAGGUGGGGUAAGAAGGGAAUUGGAAACAGCUACUUUUGUAUGAUCUACAUAAUACGGAAACAUCUAGGAUAUAGAGAAAAUUAACUCUUGUACAUAUGUUUAUCUUGAAAUACGGAACUUCUCGAAUUCCUGAUGUCUUCAGAUGUAAUGAAGACUCUAAAAUUUGAACUAUGACGAACUCAUUUUUUAUGCAUUAUUCAAAAAUAACAUUAGGAAUCAUUUCAACAACAAACCUGAUUUUUCUUAAAAUAAAGGAUUACUUAA
rnacentral:lncRNA from 1 species